rnacentral:rRNA from 1 species
UACAGAGGGUGCGAGCGUUAAUCGGAAUUACUGGGCGUAAAGGGCGUGUAGGUGGUUAUGUAAGUUUGAUGUGAAAGCCCCGGGCUUAACCUGGGAACUGCGUUGAAAACUGCAAGACUAGAGUUGGACAGAGGGUGGUGGAAUUUCCGGUGUAGCGGUGAAAUGCGUAGAGAUCGGAAAGAACAUCCGUGGCGAAGGCGGCCACCUGGGUCCAAACUGACACUGAGGCGCGAAAGCGUGGGGAGCAAAC